rnacentral:rRNA from 1 species
GUCCUACGGGAGGCAGCAGUGGGGAAUAUUGCACAAUGGGGGAAACCCUGAUGCAGCGACGCCGCGUGGGUGACGAAGUAUUUCGGUAUGUAAAGCCCUAUCAGCAGGGAAGAAGAUGACAGUACCUGACCAAGAAGCCCCGGCUAACUACGUGCCAGCAGCCGCGGUAAUACGUAGGGGGCAAGCGUUAUCCGGAUUUACUGGGUGUAAAGGGAGCGUAGACGGCGAUGCAAGUCUGAAGUGAAAGCCCGGGGCUCAACCCCGGGACUGCUUUGGAAACUGUAUGGCUGGAGUGCUGGAGAGGC